rnacentral:rRNA from 1 species
UACGUAGGGUCCGAGCGUUGUCCGGAAUUAUUGGGCGUAAAGGGCUCGUAGGCGGUCUGUUGCGUCGGGAGUGAAAACUUACAGCUUAACUGUGAGCGUGCUUCCGAUACGGGCAGACUUGAGGUAUUCAGGGGAGAACGGAAUUCCUGGUGUAGCGGUGAAAUGCGCAGAUAUCAGGAGGAACACCAGUGGCGAAGGCGGUUCUCUGGGAAUAUCCUGACGCUGAGGAGCGAAAGUGUGGGGAGCGAACAGG